GAUGAACGCUGGCCGCGUGCCUAAUACAUGCAAGUCGAGCGAACGGACGAGAAGCUUGCUUCUCUGAUGUUAGCGGCGGACGGGUGAGUAACACGUGGAUAACCUACCUAUAAGACUGGGAUAACUUCGGGAAACCGUAGCUAAUACCGGAUAAUAUUUUGAACCGCAUGGUUCAAAAGUGAAAGACGGUCUUGCUGUCACUUAUAGAUGGAUCCGCGCUGCAUUAGCUAGUUGGUAAGGUAACGGCUUACCAAGGCAACGAUGCAUAGCCGACCUGAGAGGGUGAUCGGCCACACUGGAACUGAGACACGGUCCAGACUCCUACGGGAGGCAGCAGUAGGGAAUCUUCCGCAAAGGGCGAAAGCCUGACGGAGCAACGCCGCGUGAGUGAUGAAGGUCUUCGGAUCGUAAAACUCUGUUAUUAGGGAAGAACAUAUGUGUAAGUAACUGUGCACAUCUUGACGGUACCUAAUCAGAAAGCCACGGCUAACUACGUG
rnacentral:rRNA from 1 species